GGGUAGGUGGCCGAGUGGUUAAUGGCACCAGACUGUAAAUCUGGCGCGCGAGAGCGCUACGCUGGUUCGAAUCCAGCCCUGCCCACCA
rnacentral:tRNA from 1 species